CCCCUCUCAGGGUCACAUCUGGAGAAUUUCCAGUACUCUACCAGUCUUGGCUAUGGGAGGGAGAGUCCAGCAGAGGCAUACCCAUUCCAUUCCUAGCUUGAGCCAUGGCUAGCGAGUGGAAGGCAAUCUGCUACAAUG
rnacentral:snoRNA from 2 species